AUGUAUAAGUUUAAUCGUUUAUCGAGAAACCGCGAACGGCUCAUUACAAUGGCCAUUAUUUACUUGAUCUUGAUUGUCUAAAUGGAUAACUGUGGAAAAGCUAGAGCUAAUACAUGCACUAAAGCUUUGUCCUUACGGAAAAGCGCAUUUAUUAGAACAAAACCACGCGGCUUCGGCUGCUUCUUGUUGACUCAGAAUAACUUAGCUGACCGCAUGGCCUUGUGCCGGCGGCGUGUCUUUCAAGCGUCCACUUUAUCAACUUGACGGGAGCAUAAUCGACUCCCGUGGUGGUGACGGACAACGGAGGAUCAGGGUUCGACUCCGGAGAAGGGGCCUGAGAAAUGGCCACUACGUCUAAGGAUGGCAGCAGGCGCGCAAAUUACCCACUCUCGGCUCGAGGAGGUAGUGACGAGAAAUAACGAGACUGUUCUCUUUGAGGCCGGUCAUCGGAAUGGGUACAAUUUAAACCCUUUAACGAGUAUCAAGCAGAGGGCAAGUCUGGUGCCAGCAGCCGCGGUAAUUCCAGCUCUGCAAAUACAUAGAAUUAUUGCUGCGGUUAGAAAGCUCAUAGUUGGAUUCGUAUCGAUACCUUGGAACCCUUCGGGUGUCUCUAGGUGUUAUCGAUUUAUCGUAAUGUUCGGUCUUGAGUCCUUAACAGGAUUCUUAACAGGCAUUGCAAGUUUACUUUGAACAAAUCAGAGUGCUUCAAACAGGCGUUUUCGCUUGAAUGAUCGUGCAUGGAAUAAUAGAAAAUGAUUUCGGUUCAGUUUUAUUGGUUUUACGGACUGAGAUAAUGGUUAACAGAGACAAACGGGGGCAUUUGUAUGGUCCCGUGAGAGGUGAAAUUCUUGGACCGUGGCCAGACAAACUACAGCGAAAGCAUUUGCCAAGAAUGUUUUUAUUAAUCAAGAACGAAAGUCAGAGGUUCGAAGGCGAUCAGAUACCGCCCUAGUUCUGACCGUAAACGAUGCCAACUAGCGAUCCGCCGAUGGAAAUUAUAUUGCCUUGGUGGGGAGCUUCCCGGAAACGAAAGUCUUCCGGUUCCGGGGGAAGUAUGGUUGCAAAGCUGAAACUUAAAGGAAUUGACGGAAGGGCACCACCAGGAGUGGAGCCUGCGGCUUAAUUUGACUCAACACGGGGAAACUCACCCGGCCCGGACACUGUGAGGAUUGACAGAUUGAUAGCUUUUUCAUGAUUCAGUGGAUGGUGGUGCAUGGCCGUUCUUAGUUCGUGGAGUGAUUUGUCUGGUUUAUUCCGAUAACGAGCGAGACUCUAACCUACUAAAUAGUUGGUACAUACUCUUAGUGUAUACAGCUUCUGAGAGGGAUGUGCGGCGUUCAGCCGAAAGAAAUUGAGCAAUAACAGGUCUGUGAUGCCCUUAGAUGUCCGGGGCUGCACGCGCGCUACACUGGCAAAAUCAACGUGCUUGUCCUACCCUGAAAGGGGCGGGUAAACCAUUGAAAAUUUGCCGUGAUUGGGAUCGGAAAUUGCAAUUAUUUUCCGUGAACGAGGAAUUCCAAGUAAGUGCGAGUCAUCAGCUCGCGUUGAUUACGUCCCUGCCCUUUGUACACACCGCCCGUCGCUGCCCGGGACUGAGCCAUUUCGAGAAAUUUGGGGACCGUUGAUUUAAUUUUUCUAAAUUACUUUGAUGGAAGCCAAUUUAAUCGCAGUGGCUUGAACCGGGCAAAAGUCGUAACAAGGUAGCUGUAGGUGAACCUGCUGCUGGAUCAUUACUUUAUGUGAUGUUCAAAUUUGAAUUCGCAAUGAAAUGAUCGUUGUGAAACGGCUGUCGCUGGUGUCUAAGUGUUGCUGAUACGGUUGUGAACGUCCGUGGCUGUAUAUGUGGUGACAUGUUAGGACUCUAAUGAGUUUAAGACCUAAUGAGCCUCUUAAGUGAGGCCGCCAGCAACCUUUUUUUUCUCUACAUUUUAAAAAAAAAACUAAAAUUCUACCCUUAUCGGUGGAUCACUAGGCUCGUGGAUCGAUGAAGAACGCAGCAAACUG
rnacentral:rRNA from 1 species